AGCGCGGCCUGAUUGGCCCUUUGAACCGGGCGUGGGAUUGGCCGUCGCCUGCCCACCCCGCGGCUGCAGCGUUCCCUGGGGCCUAGCCAACCGCGGGCAGGGCUGGGCAAGGCGGGAGGAGCGCGGACCCAAGAUCGGCUACGCUGCGUCUGCUCAGGCUGCGAGUUCCCGGCUCUGGGGACUCACCUUGCGGAGCUUACCCAGGCGGACUCUCCGCAGCCCCUGAUGGAAAUUUUCUAAUCCCGUGGCGAACCCCCGUACUUCAACGUAUGACAUUCUGUAAAUCUACAAAACAGAUGGGUCCCUGCCUUUGAGAAGUUUUUACAAUUUAGUGGGUACUGGACACGGACCUAAUUUAAUUCUCACAUGCCUUCCCUUUCUAAUAAGCUGCAUGUUAUGUAUCCCUAUUCUACAGAUGUGGGGAAUCCGAAAUUUUUAGCUUUUACUGGGACACACAGCUAGCAAGCAACUAAAGCGAGAAUUCCAACCUGAGCUCCAAUCCGAACUAUUUUCAUAAAAGGCAGGAUCCCAGGCUGAGGGAGUUCGAGGUUUGGGAGACAGUUUAGCAGUCGCUGAGUCCAAACAUGUUGUUUUCCUAGAAAAGAAAACUGAGAUCCAGGAAAGGGAAGUGAUUUUCCAAAGACACACCUGUGAAAGCAGCCGUGUUGAACCAUGAAAGGACCUCAGGAAUGAAACCCACACACAGCAAAGCAACAAAGUGAAAGAAGCGUGGAUUCCUAAUGCAGGAGGCACUGAACCAAUCAAUACCCACUGCCCUCCAGACCUCCACAUGAAAGAAAAAAACUGCUGUCCUGUGAAGAAGACACUCCCCAGAUGCCAGCAACUUGAUAUUGGACUUCCUGCCUUUAGAAACGUGAGAAAUAAAUUUUUUUUCUUUAUAAGUUACCCAGCCUCUGGCAUUCUGUUAUAGCAGCACAGAACAGACUAAGACAGCCACUGAAACCAGAUCUAUGUCCCGGACCACCCUCAUUUGCCUCAAUUUCUCUCUAUAUAUAAUAAGAACAAAUAAUGCAAAUGCUAUCUAUACUUCCCCGUGACUACAGGGAGACUAAGGGAUGAAAUAUAUAAUCACACUUUGAAAAUAUAUAAAUGUUAUCCAACCAUACAUCCAUUGUUUCACAUCAGGCUGGGCCACAUAGCUUCCUCUGUACCCUUUAGUUUCCUGCCCUUAUCUCUAUCACAGGCCAUAUAUCAAAUGCCUAGUAAUUAUCAGUGCAUCUAUAUAUUCCCUAUUCUCCCCAACAAUACAUAAAAGGUUAUUGCAUUGCAUUGAAUUAUAAGACUUGAUUACUGGAAAGUCUAGACAUCACUCAGGGUCAUUGUGGGG
rnacentral:lncRNA from 1 species